CAUAGUUAAAGAGAAUGUUGUGUGUAUUAAGCACAUUGACUAGCGGGUAUAUGAAGCAGAAGAAAAAUUAUGAGAUAAAAAGGGAAUUAGAUUCCAGUUGAGAAAUGCAUGGGACCAGUUUUUUAUUUAGGCGGAAAAGACGAUAUAUUUCCCUAUUCGUGUAGUCAUCUUCGGUAUAGUAUUCAUCUAGAUUGCUCAUAUAUUCUUAACUUGGCUUUUGAGGCACUCACAUGGUUAGCUUACGAAAAGGCAAAACAAAGUGAAAGGCAAUUAUAACCGAUAUGAUUGUACCUUGUUGUAGGAUAAAUGUCAUUAAGAUCCCGUACGGAAGAAUCACACUGCCUACUUUGCUCCUUCACCAUGUUGCCUAACUUUGGGUUUUCGAAUUCACAUACAUAAACCCUAGUUAAUCUCACAAUAGACUUGACGAAUCCCUAAAAUGCAUUCACCAGUGAGGGACACGUGGGAGCCAAACAAGAUUGUUUUUUUUUCAGAAACCUGUUAGGUGAGCCACGCUAUGCUAGUAGAACUUUUGCAUCGGACAAGCUCUUCUUCCGAUGAGUCCAGAGCAGAUCGUAGGCUUCCAUGCACCAGCAAUCAUGGUACCUAGGCAGAAACGGUAUGAAGGUAUCCCGUAUCCGCCUUUCAAGACAGAGCUCUAGAGAUUCCGGGGAGACUUUUUCCAAAAUAAUGUCUAGGCAAAGGAAGGUAAUGUCUUCUGAAGCUCCAGAUUUGUCAACUGUCACUUUUUUGAUUGAUCCUGUGAGUGAGCAUUAUGUUCCAAGAUGACGAAUUUGUGCUGUAGAGAAUCAGUUUACAUUUUGCUAGUUGAACAAGAAUGUAAUAUACAUGUUUGUUAUAACCCAUAUCUAUUUGUUUGCUGAUGUUCUAGGAUAUCUCAAGGAUACCAACUGAAGAUGUAAAUCAUUCUUUGGUUCCUCAGCCACAGCCUUUUAAAAAUUCAAAAGAAGGAGGUCAACCAAGUCCGGUUUCAGUUCUAGAAGCCGGUGAUAAAUCGAUGAAUGCCACCACAUGCUUUCUAUUAGGGGAUAUUAACAUAUCAAUAAACGAUAAACGAGUCGGUAUUAGAAUAGAAUAUAGAAUAGAAUAUUUCCAUUAUUGUAUCUUCCUCUUAUCAAUAGCAUUAGGAAAACGUGUAUGUACAACUUGAUAUUAUACAACUUCUCACUUUCUGACACCUCCACAAUCUUUCCGGUGAAGACAACCUCAUUUUCCUUCUUAUUCAUCGAUGGGAGAUCAAGACAUAUCCCGUGGUACAAGAAAAUGAAUACAGAAGAAUGACAAGAUAACUAAUGUUUGAUUUUUGUCUAGAAAAUUAGAACAAUAGACGACUUGAAUCCCGUGUAGACCCUUAAAUUAAAUUAAAUUUUUAUACGGACCGCGUAGAAUAAUUGAUAAAAUUAUACCUUAAUCUAAUAUAACGUCGAAGGCAGUCAAUGUUACAAAUUACAAUACAUUUGUUAUGUACAAGAAAGCAUGUGAUCGCUUGUAAUUUUGAACUUUUUCUGCGCUCUGCAUCGCCUAUAAAUCAAAACCUCCUUUUGGCUAAAUAUAUCACAAAGAAAGAAAGAAAGAAGAGCAAUGAGGAGCUUGAGAUUGAGCAUAGCUGUUCUCGCUGCAGUUUUUGUUUGUCUCUCCAUUCUGCAAUCCACUAGAGUUGCAGCAAAUCCGUCUUCCAUAAAGUGUAUCAUUCCAUACGGUCUCUGUUCACCUGCGGAUCCCCCCGGUGAAACAUGCAAUGAGAGAUGCCUGAAGUCGGAGAGAAUAUCUUUGAAAGGCGGCAAAUGCAUCACUAAUCCGGGGAAUUGUAUGUGCUGCUAUGAUUUCGGCGUUUAAAAAAGAAAGCAUACUCAGAUUUCAAAAGAUAGAGAACGACGUCGCUUUGUGUGAGUGUGUGCGGAGGUGUUGCAGUUUGAUAACUAUGUUUUAGUGUUUUUUAUUCUACUUUGUUAUACCUUUGAUUUGUCUUCUCUUAGUUUUACGGUGAUAAAGUUUCAUAUAAUAAAGGGGAUAAUCGCAUAAAAAAUCAUACGUAAAUGUCACCUACUAACAUUUUAAACCUUCAAGUUUUCUCAACUGAGCUGAAAGUCAUUCAAAUUCUCCAGAUGUAUUUUCCGGAAUUUAAGAUCAGCUACAUCCCAAGAACGUAAAAUGAAAUUGUUGAUACGCUAGCUAGGAAUGUUCGUUCUUUUCAUAGAUCUCUUUGCUUUAUUGGUUGUUCUAUUCCAGUCUCGUUAUCCAGACCACCUCAAGUUUGAGUAAAAGAAUAGCCGUUUGUUGUAAAAAAAAAGAUACCUUCAAAUUUUUUGGCUAUCACUUUUAACUUUUAAACUAGAUUUUGACCCGUGCAACCGCACGGAUGUUUGUUUUCACUUUUCUAUACAUAAAUUAUUGUUUUAGAACAUAAGUGGUAUAUAUUUUUAAUGUUAAUCAUAUACUUAAAUAUUUAUAUAACUAUUUCAGAUACAAUAAUUUUAUAAUUUACAUGCUAUAAUUAAUUAAUUAUUUAAACCUGAGGCACAGAUGAUUAAUCACUCAAGUGUAGUAUCUGAUGUACAGAUCAGAUCACAUUUAAAGACCACAGGAAGAUGGUGUUUUACGGACGGUUUUUGGAAAGAUAAAGAUUCUUUCUCAGGACAAGGAUGGCUCAGUACCAUUCCGGGGUUUGAGGGUUUACUAAGGGCAAGGAAUGUAAGGGCAAGUCUCUCACCUCUUCAUGCGGAGAUAGAAGCAUUAAUCUGGGCAAUGGAAUGUAUGAAAAACUUGCGACAGUACUGGGUCACGUUUGCAACGGAUUGUUCUCAACUGGUGAAGAUGGUUUCAGAACCAGAGGAAUGGCCAGCAUUUGAAAGUUACCUGGAGGAUAUUAAGCUUUUGCGAAGAAGCUUCACCAACUCGGAUAUUGUUCAUGUUCCUAGGAUGAAUAACACAAUGGCGGAUCGCUUGGCACGCAGUGCUCGGAUACAACCGUCAUUCGUCGUACACAUGGAUGCAGAGUUACCACCUUGGUUUACAGAGUCCACAUGAGUAUGUAGAUGCUUUUGCUGUCAAAAAAAAAAAUAUUAUAUAUUUAUCUUAUUGUAUUUGUAUUUAGUUAUUAAGCAAAUUAAUAUAUUCAUGAGAAAAUAUAUUUAAAAAAUAUUUUGUAUUUAAUUUAUGCUAAAUUCUGACCCGUAUUUCAAAACAGGA